UACGGAGGGUGCAAGCGUUGUCCGGAUUUAUUGGGUUUAAAGGGUGCGUAGGCGGCCGUUUAAGUCUGGGGUGAAAGCCCGCUGCUCAACAGCGGAACUGCCCUGGAUACUGGAUGGCUUGAGUACAGACGAGGUUGGCGGAAUGGACAGAGUAGCGGUGAAAUGCAUAGAUACUGUCCAGAACCCCGAUUGCGAAGGCAGCUGACUAGGCUGUUACUGACGCUGAGGCACGAAAGCGUGGGGAGCGAACAGG
rnacentral:rRNA from 1 species